GAUUCUUUUUGUGUAUUGGUUCAGGUGCAGAAUCAGUAGCAGAGAUUUUGAUUGGAGCCAAACACACAAAAUCCAAUUUUUGUGUCAAAUUCCAAUAUUUCUAAAUCAACUAAAACAGUUAAACUCAUGCAUACACAUGAAGCUUCGGAGAAACAGAGAAAAAAACAGAGAAGCAUAACAUGAAGAACAGCACCAAUUGCAGAACCUUUAGAGCUUCGAAUUGAAGAGAAACAGAGCAAAGAACAACAUGAAGGUGAAGAAGUUAAAGAGUUCCUCUGUUUUUUCAGCUACAGUAGUUUUUAGCGUUAUGUCCCUGUUCUUCUUCGUUGAGUUCAGUUCUGCUUUGAGUUCAAGCACUGAAAAGUUGAGUUCAAGAACCGAAUGGUUAUCGUUGCUUCAACUUCGAUCUUCAUUGGGUAUAAGAG